ACAAAGGCUGUUUUCACAUCCACUGCAUUUAGCAUAAAUAUUUACUU
rfam:Nomascus leucogenys chromosome 20, whole genome shotgun sequence.